rnacentral:lncRNA from 1 species
AUAUUUUGAAGAUAGUACAUUGGAUGAAUGGAAACAAUAGAGGCAAAAUCUGAAAGAAGAAAAAAUUGAAAUGAAAUCAGUUACGUGUAAAAGGAGAACAAAUGCUACAAUGUAUUAGAUUAAACGAAAAGACAAUCAUUUGGUUGAUUUAGUUGAUAGUAAAACAAUGAAAAAAAAAAUAGGAAACUUCCAUUAACUGAAGAUUACCGUAAAGUAAGGGAAGCAACAUCAUAAAAUUGUGCAUGAAACACAAUUAGAGAAAUGAUAAAGGAGAUGAAUUUAACCGUUUAAUGUUACAACUGGAAGUAAAGAAAAAUAAUUUUUAAAGUAACUUGAGAUUUAACAGUAUGCAUAUUACGAAUAAACGCUGAAUCUUAUCGCAGUGGAAGAUGAGGAAUAAGAAGAAUGGAUGGGAAAAAAGAAAAUUGGUUGAGAAGAAUGUAUCCUGAGAACGAAAUGUGAAGAAGAAAUGAUUAUGAAAUCAGGGAGAAAAUGGGCUCUUACCGGAUGGAUGAUAAUGGAGAAGAACAUUAACGCCUAAGAAUGAACAAUGAUGAAGAACAAGUGACUGAUGAAGAAGAAAUUUCUCUAACAUGAUGGAAGAUCUUCUUGUGCGGAAAUGGGGAUGUUGGAUAAUACAAAGGGAGAUAUUUCUUGCAUAUGAAUAUAGGUUAUGGAUAUCAAGAUGAGAAAGAUGAAAAGAAUUUGAAAGGAAAUGAAAGACUCAAAACUUAAUAAAUUUAUGGGAGAAAAAUGAAGAGACUCUUGCUGAUUUUUGCAACCACA